rnacentral:rRNA from 1 species
UAAUACGGGAGGCAGCAGUGGGGAAUAUUGCACAAUGGGCGCAAGCCUGAUGCAGCCAUGCCGCGUGUAUGAAGAAGGCCUUCGGGUUGUAAAGUACUUUCAGCAGUGAGGAAGGUGGGUAUGUUAAUAGCAUACUCAUUUGACGUUAGCUGCAGAAGAAGCACCGGCUAACUCCGUGCCAGCAGCCGCGGUAAUACGGAGGGUGCGAGCGUUAAUCGGAAUUACUGGGCGUAAAGCGCAUGCAGGUGGAUGAUUAAGUCAGAUGUGAAAGCCCGGGGCUCAACCUCGGAAUAGCAUUUGAAACUGGUCAUCUAGAGUACUGUAGAGGGGGGUAGAAUUUCAGGUGUAGCGGUGAAAUGCGUAGAGAUCUGAAGGAAUACCGGUGGCGAAGGCGGCCCCCUGGACAGAUACUGACACUCAGAUGCGAAAGCGUGGGGAGCAAACAGGAUUAGAUACCCUGGUAGUCCACGCCGUAAACGAUGUCUACUUGGAGGUUGUGGCCUUUGACCCUGGCUUUCGGAGCUAAC